rnacentral:lncRNA from 1 species
GAAGGACCUAUCUGGAGCAGGGGUCACGUGCUAAGACCAGAAGCAGGUGUGGGACAAACCCUCUAGGACGAGUUCUUUGACCAGAGUUCAUCACCGGAGCUGCUCCAGAGAUGGCCAGGCCUCCCCACCUGCAGGCUUCAUUCAUGCCAGGAGCCCCAGACCUGCUCCAUGCACCAGCUCCGCCCAAGCCUGGAGCCCCGGGCUGGCUGAGGUGAGAGCCCCAAAGCUCGAGCCCAUUUCAGCAGCUAACAAUUAGAGCUGGUGUGAACAUGAUGACUGCAUGCUGAUUAAUGUAAGAUGGCUGAGCAGAAGAUCCCGCCAUUUCCUUCCCCACAGGCCCUGGGAGAACAGGUCCCGCUGGGGAAGACUCUGUCGUGUUCUGCAAAAGCCAUUUCUUGAGCACGUCCUGCAGGCCGGGCACUGCGCUGGGCACUUGAUUCCUUUCAACAGCAUGACAUGGUGGGAGGACAACUUGCCUCUCAUUGAUGAAGAAACGGAGGCUCAGAGAGGUAAA